CUUUAAACACAAGAAAAAUUAUCUCAUUUUUCUAGCUCAAUCAAGAAAAUCAGCUGCUCCUUAAAAAGCUGAGGCAGGUACGCCUAAAAAACAAGCAGCUGGAAUAUGAUGUAGUGCAGCUGCAUGAUAAACUACAUGAGAAAAAGAAGUGCUUGCCUGCCUGUGUCACAAGGAAAGAUGUGCAGAUUCAAACAGAAUUUCACUUAUACCAUAAAGGUGAUGGGGUUCAUCACAAGGAACAUGAUGUAGUAAAGGAAUAUGCCAGAGUAUUACAGAUGUAUAAUGAACUGAAGAAAAGGUACAAUAAAGAAGUCAAAACAAAUCAAAGACAAAAUGAAACAGUUGCAAUGCUGUCUGGUAAAAUUAAUGACUUGGAACACCAACUUCAUUUAGCAAACCAAAAGAUAAAUGCCUUGGAAUAUAAAAAAAAGGACAAAUUUGCUUCAAUUCAACGAAGACUGUCAUCUGACAAAUGUAUGUGCAAAAAGAAAGGAAGCUGUUCCUGCAAAUAUUUAGACCAGCUGCUUUUUGAGACACAGAGACUGAAGAUGGAAAAUGAAACGCUCUCCAAAGAAAGAAGAAUGUUAAAAAAUGAGCUUGCUGCAUUAGAUAAGGAUUUCUUUGAUGAAAUAGAAGAUUUAAAAUAUGCUCUACAAGAAGCCGUAAAGCUGAAUACCCACUAUGAAAAGUAUUUAAAACAGUUAAGUUCCACUUAUGGAAUCACUCUUACAGUGUUGAGAGCUGGCAAUCCUCGUACAACUUUAUGGAAAUAAUAAUCAAGACUAUUAUUAAAGUAUACUGAGUGUACACAGAAAAAUAAACUCUCAACAGAGUAAUUUCUUAAUUUGUGC
rnacentral:lncRNA from 1 species